rnacentral:rRNA from 1 species
GCAGCUCAAAUUUGAAAUCUGGGGCCCAUGGCCUCCGAGUUGUAAUUUGGAGAGGCAUCUUCUGGGGGGAGCGCCGGCCCAUGUUCCUUGGAACAGGACGUCACAGAGGGUGAGAAUCCCGUGCGAGGCAGGUGGCCUCCUCCCAUGUGGAGGGCCUUCGACGAGUCGAGUUGUUUGGGAAUGCAGCUCCAAGUGGGUGGUAAAUCUCAUCUAAAGCUAAAUACCGGCGGGAGACCGAUA